CAAAAGGCUCUUUUCAGAGCCACCACUGAUCUCAAUAAAAGAGCUGG
rfam:Macaca mulatta chromosome 4, whole genome shotgun sequence.